GAAACGAGUGCUAAGACUGGAUAGGAGACAAGAGGGCAUCUUCUUGUUUUUAAAAGACCUAGCAAUAGGUAUGCUUAGGGAGGAGCUUGCGUCACAUUAGUUAGUUGGUGGGGUAAAGGCCUACCAAGACUAUGAUGUGUAGCCGGGCUGAGAGGUUGAACGGCCACAUUGGGACUGAGACACGGCCCAAACUCCUACGGGAGGCAGCAGUAGGGAAUUUUCGGCAAUGGAGGAAACUCUGACCGAGCAACGCCGCGUGAACGAUGAAGUAUUUCGGUACGUAAAGUUCUUUUAUUAGGGAAGAAUAAAUGAUGGAAAAAUCAUUCUGACGGUACCUAAUGAAUAAGCCCCGGCUAACUAUGUGCCAGCAGCCGCGGUAAUACAUAGGGGGCAAGCGUUAUCCGGAAUUAUUGGGCGUAAAGGGUGCGUAGGCGGUUAAAUAAGUUUAUGGUCUAAGUGCAAUGCUCAACAUUGUGAUGCUAUAAAAACUGUUUAGCUAGAGUAAGAUAGAGGCAAGUGGAAUUCCAUGUGUAGUGGUAAAAUGCGUAAAUAUAUGGAGGAACACCAGUAGCGAAGGCGGCUUGCUGGGUCUUUACUGACGCUGAGGCACGAAAGCGUGGGGAGCAAACAGGAUUAGAUACCCUGGUAGUCCACGCCGUAAACGAUGAGUACUAAACGUUGGGUAAAACCAGUGUUGAAGUUAACACAUUAAGUACUCCGCCUGAGUAGUACGUACGCAAGUAUGAAACUUAAAGGAAUUGACGGGACUCCGCACAAGCGGUGGAUCAUGUUGUUUAAUUCGAAGGUACCCGAAAAACCUCACCAGGUCUUGACAUGCUUCUGCAAAGCUGUAGAAACACAGUGGAGGUUAUCAGUUGCACAGGUGGUGCAUGGUUGUCGUCAGCUCGUGUCGUGAGAUGUUGGGUUAAGUCCCGCAACGAGCGCAACCCUUAUUGUUAGUUACCAGCACGUAAUGGUGGGGACUUUAGCAAGACUGCCAGUGAUAAAUUGGAGGAAGGUGGGGACGACGUCAAAUCAUCAUGCCCCUUAUGACCUGGGCUACAAACGUGAUACAAUGGCUGUUACAAAGGGUAGCUGAAGCGCAAGUUUUUGGCGAAUCUCAAAAAAACAGUCUCAGUUCGGAUUGAAGUCUGCAACUCGACUUCAUGAAGUUGGAAUCGCUAGUAAUCGCGAAUCAGCAUGUCGCGGUGAAUACGUUCUCGGGGUUUGUACACACGGCCCGUCAAAC
rnacentral:rRNA from 1 species